rnacentral:lncRNA from 1 species
CACUCCAAUCAAGCAUCAGCUUUGGUUCUUAUGACGCAGUCACUAACAUCACACACGACCAAAACAGCAGGGCGCUCUCUCAAGUCUCCUCUUACUGUGCCAUCGUGGGGAACAGUCUCAUAGCAUGAUAUGGAGCUGGAGAGGAGGGGAGAGGAGAACAGAAGGCAAGGUGGGAAAGGACACCUGGCAGAGACAACAUCUGGAUCCUGAACCUGGAGGAGAAAUCCACUUAUAUCUCACUUUAGAUUUGCCAGCUGCUUUUAUUUUUAUUUGGACUUACAGAAAGGUUGAGAAGAAAAUACGGGAGUGAACUGUAGCAAUAAACGGUUUGUGGGUAAUUUUGGUACUUUAAUGUGGCUUCUAAAAUGUGUACUACAUGACUUAGGAAGGAAUAUUUAAGGAGCCCAGCUGCACUAACGUGGGUUGCUAUUGUGUUAUUACUAAAAUAGCUGAGAGAGACUCUCUGUGCAGUCACCCUAAGUGAGUUAUUUUGAGUGAGUUGCUAUGGUGGUAUGACCUGCAUGUAUGACUAAACAUACAAAAAAGCCAAAAGGCCAGAAAUGAAGUGUCAGCUAUGAAGAUGCUAGUGAUAAAAGCCUACCCCAAAGCAAUGACAGAUACUUUGAAAAUACUUUGAGGGAAUAAAGCACUCUUAGGGAACACAGGGUUUGAAGUAGGACUGUGUUGUUAUUAUUGAGUUAUUUUCCAAUAAUUUUCGAGAGUCUGCCACAGCUUUGAGGCCAGUCUUUUAUAUCAUUGCCCAGGCAGGGGCUCCAUAGCUCAGGGGUUAGAGCACUGCUCUUGUAGUAUCAUUGCCCUACACAAGUGAAUUUGGGUAAAAAGGAAAACAGAAGGAACUUUAACAGGCAAGUAUGGAGACUGAAGUUCCACAGUAGCCCCUAGCACCAAAUAAAAGUACAACAGGUCUCAAUCAUCACUUCCAGGCAUUGAGAGAAGAAGUGCGAUUUUUGAGUCUUGACUUUUGGAAUCUGCAAGAGUAAGUAAAUGGCUCUCUGUGUCUGUCUGGUGCCUAGGGCCAGCUCUCUCCUCUGACACUGUCCUCAUUAGCAUGCUAGGUGAGCAUGACAACUCCGCUAGUCAGAUAUCACUACAUCCUCAACUUCACAGAGGUGGUCUCUCAUCUACCAUAUUUUCUGAACACCAAUUCACAGUGCAGUACUGGGCAAGCUACAUAAAAAUUUCCUGCGAAGUUUGUAACAUUUUUUUAAAGCUAAAAAUUAGAGAUUCUGAUUCUGGCCUGAACCUUGGGAAUGUGUAUUUUUUAAAAGUUUCCCGAGUGAUUUUCAUGGGGAAUUAGUUUAAAAAACACUGGUAUAGACUUUCCACUUUGGAAUUUAAUCAGGUUGUGUUUUUUUAAAUUUCACCUAUUGCUGUGUUGGGGCUACUUACCUAGAUGUGAGGGCUAUAUGACCCCACCCCUA